rnacentral:precursor_RNA from 1 species
GGCUUGAGGACCGUAUUCAUGGAAGAGGAUCGAACAGAGAUGAAGUAGACAGUAUGUUGGAUAAAUCUGAAGUAAACAACCCAGCAAUUGGUAAAGAUGAAAAUAUAUCGCCUCAAGUAAAAGGACAUGAAGACAGGGGACAUGAAGUAGGCAGUAUGUUGGAUAAAUCUGGAGAUGACAUUUAUAAGACGCUUCACAUAAAGAGAAAAUGGAUGGAAACUUAUGUCAAAGAAUCUUUCAAAGGCAGGAACCAGAAAUUAGAAAGAUUUUGCAAAAUGAACGAACGAGAGAGGAAGAACAUCAACAACAAAUUUUGUGAGCAGUAUAUAACUACAUUUCAGAAGUCUUAUAUGGAUGUACAGAAAUUCAAUGAGGAAAAAGAAAAAUCAGUGAAUAGUUGUCAAAAAGAACAACAAGCAUUGAAACUGUCCAAAUGUAGUCAGAACCAGACCCUGGAAGCAGGUAAAGAAAUGCAUGAGAAGUCCAUGGAGCUGCAUCAUUGGACUCAAACUGAAUGGUCCAUGUGUUGCCACUGAUGUGAGCCAUUUGCAAGCC